GAUGAACGCUGGCGGCGUGCCUAAUACAUGCAAGUCGAGCGAACAGAUGAGAAGCUUGCUCCUCUGACGUUAGCGGCGGACGGGUGAGUAACACGUGGAUAACCUACCUAUAAGACUGGGAUCACUUCGGGAAACUGGAGCUAAUACCGGAUAAUAUAUUGAACCGUAUGGUUCAAUAGAGAAAGACGGUUUUGCUGUCACUUAUAGAUGGAUCCGCGCCGCAUUAGCUAGUUGGUAAGGUAACGGCCUACCAAGGCAACGAUGCGUAGCCGACCUGGGAGGGGGAUCGGCCAAACUGGAACUGAGACACGGUCCAGACUCCUACGGGAGGAAGCAGUAGGGAAUCUUGCGCAAUGGGCGAAAGCCUGACGGAGCAACGCCGCGUAAGUAAGGAAGGUCUUCGGAUCGUAAAACUCUUUUAUUAGGGAAGAACAAAUGUGUAAGUAACUGUGCACGUCUUGACGGUACCUAAUCAGAAAGCCACGGCUAACUACGUG
rnacentral:rRNA from 1 species